UAAAGACUCGCCCUAUUUAUAUAUUAAACGGAUUUGACCCAUUUAUAACUGGAAAGGGUCGGGGCUUUUAAUGGGGGGCUCCAACCCAUUGAAUUGCUCUAAUUGUCAAUAAGGGGAAAAAAAAAAAAAAACACGGAAGAACGUAGCCCUAUCUCCUCCUUUCUCAGUUCUCCAUUGAAGCGAGGCGCCUUCUAAUACUUGUAUCCCCCAUUGAAACAGCUUCUGAGGUGCAAGGUGUUGUUUGUUUGUUGAUCAAUUGAGAGUAGACGACGUAUAUUUAGUACAAUGAAGAGGCCUUUGGAGGAAGUUGCCAGUGUGGUUGCCUCAGCUGCAGUGGCGAAUACCAGCUCUAGUAAUGCGAAGCCGGUUUUCUUGACUAAAGCCCAGAGAGAGCAGUUAGCUUUACAAAAACGUCAAGAAGAAGUUGCUGAACAGAGACGCCGUGCUGAGGAGUUGCUUCAGAGUCGAUCUGUUGAUAACAGACCUUCCGAUUCUUCUCACCACCGCUCUUCCCGCGACCAUGACCGUGAUCGUGACCGCGAUCAUGACCGCUACCGUGAUCGUGACCGUGUGCGAGAAAGAGAAAGAGACCGUGAUCGGGAGAGAGAUCGUGAAAUUGAAAGGAGGAAUCGUGACAAGGAACGUGAAGAGGAGAGCAAAACUAGGGAUCGUGCUAGGCUGGAGAAGUUGACGGAAAGGGAGAGGGAAAAGGAACUGGAGCUUAUUAAAGAGCAGUAUCUAGGUUCCAAGAAACCUAAGAAGCGUGUGAUCAAGCCUAGUGAGAAAUUUCGCUUCUCCUUUGAUUGGGAGAACACUGAGGACACCUCUCGCGACAUGAAUGCUCUCUAUCAAAACCCUCAUGAGGCUCAGCUGCUGUUUGGUAGAGGGUUCCGAGCGGGAAUAGAUCGUAGGGAGCAGAAGAAGCUAGCUGUGAAAAAUGAAGUUGAGUUGCGUGAGGAAAUUCGCAAAAAGGAUGGCACAGAAGAGGCACCUGAGGAGGCUGCUGCUCAACGUCGCCGGGAGCAAGCUGCUGAAGUGUAUGAGGAUCAUGAUAUGAGGGUAGACCGCCACUGGUCUGAUAAGAGGCUUGAAGAAAUGACUGAAAGGGACUGGAGAAUUUUCAGGGAGGACUUCAAUAUAUCUUACAAGGGGUCUAAGAUUCCUAAACCAAUGAGGAAUUGGGUAGAGAGUAAACUGACUUCAGAGCUGUUGAAAGCUGUGGAGCGAGCUGGCUAUAAGACUCCGUCCCCUAUCCAGAUGGCAGCUAUUCCUUUAGGACUUCAACAGCGAGAUGUCAUUGGUGUUGCGGAGACUGGUUCGGGUAAGACGGCUGCUUUUGUUCUCCCUAUGUUGGCUUAUAUAACUAGGCUGCCACCGAUUACUGAAGAGAAUGAAGCUGAGGGUCCUUAUGCUGUUGUUAUGGCCCCUACUCGCGAAUUAGCUCAACAGAUUGAAGAGGAGACUGUUAAGUUUGCCCACUAUCUGGGGAUUAAGGUUGUCUCGAUUGUUGGUGGACAAUCCAUUGAGGAGCAGGGAUUCAAAAUUAGACAAGGGUGUGAAAUUGUUAUUGCAACCCCUGGACGUCUCUUGGAUUGUCUGGAAAGGCGUUAUGUUGUUUUGAACCAGUGCAAUUAUGUUGUUCUUGAUGAAGCUGAUCGAAUGAUAGAUAUGGGUUUUGAGCCUCAGGUUGUUGGUGUGCUGGAUGCAAUGCCUUCAAGUAAUAUGAAGCCUGAGAAUGAAGAAGAGGAGCUUGAUGCAAAAAAGAUUUACCGGACAACCUAUAUGUUUAGUGCCACUAUGCCACCUGCUGUAGAGCGGCUUGCCAGGAAGUACUUGAGGAAUCCUGUGGUGGUGACUAUUGGUACGGCUGGAAAAACUACUGACCUCAUCACACAACAUGUGAUCAUGACAAAGGAAUCAGAAAAAACUUACAAGCUGCAAAAGCACCUUGAUGAGUUAGGUGAUAAGACAGCUAUAGUGUUUGUUAACACCAAGAAGACUGCUGAUGUGCUUUCCAAAAAUUUGGACAAAUCAGGUUAUCGAGUCACAACAUUGCAUGGUGGAAAAUCACAGGAACAAAGAGAAAUCAGUCUGGAAGGUUUCAGGACCAAGAGGUACAAUGUAAUGGUUGCCACAGAUGUUGCUGGACGUGGUAUUGAUAUACCUGAUGUUGCUCAUGUAAUCAACUAUGAUAUGCCGGGGAAUAUUGAGAUGUACACCCAUCGUAUUGGCCGAACUGGGAGAGCAGGAAAAACUGGUGUGGCGACCACCUUUUUGACUUUGCAUGAUACUGAUGUCUUCUAUGAUUUGAAGCAGAUGCUCAUUCAGAGUAAUAGUCCUGUUCCGCCUGAACUUGCAAGACAUGAAUCUGCAAAAUUCAAACCUGGAUCAGUUCCUGAUAGACCUCCAAGACGCAAUGAGACUGUUUUUGUGCAUUGAUAAUUCUGCCUCUUCAGGACAUCGUUUUGAAUUUUGAUAAAGUUUCUCCGGAAUGUACUUAAAUGUCUAGGGUUUUCUGCAUUGGAGUUUCAUCAGGCACAAGAGGCUGGAGCAGAAACAAAACGCACAUCUUAUAAUUAAGCAGGCAAGGACAUUAUGUUGUUUUGAAUUUGAUUAAUAUUCUUUUUCCAAGUAUAUAUCACUUUUUGCUAUUACUCAUUGCACUUGCACUUGUACUAUAGUCCGCGGCCACCUGUGGGAUGGUAUAGUUCUGUUGAGUGAAGUAAAUACUGUUCUCUGUAUCUUCAAAUUACUAUGAUAUCCACAUACGUAGUAUAUCAAUGAGAUUGCUGGAUUAAAUGAGUUGCAGACUUGCAGGAGUAUGUCUUGCAAGAGCACUUCUUUGCGGGAAUGAGAGGGAGGUUAUGUAGUGUACGUAAGCUUGAUCUAUUACUAACAUGGUUGAUCUGAUAUGGUUUUUGAUGGUGAAUUAGAUGCCUAGAGACCAUUUAGUCAAUAGAUUUGCUCUUAAGGUUUCACUAUGAGUAUGUUUAGAAGUAGUCUAAGAUGGGGAAUGAUUAAGAUAAAGGAUUCUGGAUUAUUUCUGUAAUUGACCUGUUCGAGUGGAUGCUCAAUUUUGAAGUAGUUCCUUUUGGUAGUGAGUCAUCUGUAUACACAAGCACAAACUGAGGAACCAAUUCUUAUAUUGUGGUAGCGUAAUUGAUCGUAUGAAUGCUAUAAGCAAGUCAGAUCUACUCUUGUUCGAAACUUGUAUAUGUGCACUGUGGUGACCGGUGACAUGUUAGUAUAUAUUCCACCUUAGCUCCAAGAAUGGAUUGUAUACCUGUAUACAUUGCAUAUAGAAGUAUUUCAGAAAAGAGAUCUGACGCUUAAUGUGUGAUAUAAGGUUGCUUGUGAUGGUUAUACAGUAUUUACCCGAGUCUGAGGCCUUUACUGUCUUGGCCAUUGGAAUGGUGGGAGCUGAUACGGGUCAAGGAGGAUUUGUGCUUAGUUUGCUGUAAAUGUGGUGAUCAUCUCUCUUUGCCUAUUGAAAUAUAUUCAUGCUGCACACCUGGUACUUAGUAAAUGGUACAGCCUCAUUCUUAGGUUAUUUUGGAGCUCCCCAAAUGAGAGAGGGGUAAUUAAAUGAAAUUUAUCGCGAAUGAACAACAAAAUAAUUGGUUUUAUCAUACACUGUGUACAACAUAAUUUUAUACUGAAAUAACAUUGCCUAUAUUUUCGAUGGUUA